UGACACACAAGGAAGAAAAAGCUAACAUCAUAUCAUCAGACAUCAUGACUAUUUGUAGCUGUAUUUUGAAGCUGUUAGUGAUAUUAGAAAUAUGUUCCUCAGGGCAUGGUUUAAAUAUUACAAAUGUUUAUGUUGGCAUGAAUGGAAACAUUGAACUUACAUGUGAUUGUUUUCAUCACAUUCAAUGUUCAUGGCAAACACCAGAUCGGG